CCUACGGGAGGCAGCAGUGGGGAAUCUUGCGCAAUGGGCGAAAGCCUGACGCAGCAACGCCGCGUGCGGGAAGAAGGCUCUCGGGUUGUAAACCGCUUUCAGCAGGAACGAAAAUGACGGUACUUGCAGAAGAAGGUGCGGCCAACUACGUGCCAGCAGCCGCGGUGACACGUAGGCACCAAGCGUUGUCCGGAUUUAUUGGGCGUAAAGAGCUCGUAGGCGGUUCGGUAAGUCAGGUGUGAAAACUUUGGGCUCAACCCAAAGCCUGCAUCUGAUACUGCUGUGACUAGAGUUCGGUAGGGGAGCGGGGAAUUCCUAGUGUAGCGGUGAAAUGCGCAGAUAUUAGGAGGAACACCGGUGGCGAAGGCGCCGCUCUGGGCCGAAACUGACGCUGAGGAGCGAAAGCGUGGGUAGCAAACAGGAUUAGAUACCCUGGUAGUCCACGCCGUAAACGUUGGGCACUAGGUGUGGGUCUCAACCAACGAGAUCCGCGCCGUCGCUAACGCAUAAGUGCCCGCCUGGGGAGUACGGCCGCAAGGUUAAAACUCAAAUGAAUUGAACGG
rnacentral:rRNA from 1 species